ensembl:snoRNA LOC120097270 small nucleolar RNA SNORA17
CCUGCCCCUGAGAGCAUGGCAAGUGUGACUGUUCUAUCACAUGCAUGUCAGUAGAUGGCAGAGAGGACCUUUGAUC